UACGAAGGGGGCUAGCGUUGUUCGGAAUCACUGGGCGUAAAGCGCACGUAGGCGGAUCUUUGAGUCAGGGGUGAAAUCCCGAGGCUCAACCUCGGAACUGCCUUUGAUACUGGGGAUCUCGAGUCCGGGAGAGGUGAGUGGAACUGCGAGUGUAGAGGUGAAAUUCGUAGAUAUUCGCAAGAACACCAGUGGCGAAGGCGGCUCACUGGCCCGGAACUGACGCUGAGGUGCGAAAGCGUGGGGAGCAAACAGG
rnacentral:rRNA from 1 species